GAAAGCGUAAUUCGCAGCGCCGCUUUCGUACUCGGCAAUCAGGUUACGCGCUUCAGUUUAGCCAAUAGAAUUUUGCUUAGCGGGCAGCCAAUCGCAAUGCUCGGAAUUUGCCCACAGUGGCCCCGGCAGCCAAUAGGGAUCCGAGAAACAAAACCUCAGCUCAACAGCUUGUUAUUUCGUCCUAUGCCUUUGCAACCUAGUCGAAUGCUGAGCUGAAGCAGUCAUAUAGGAGCAUCAGUCAAAACCAUUCGAGCUGGACUCCCUCAAAUAGCCAUCAAGAUGAAGGUAGCAGAUGAACCUGCCUACCUGACUGUGGGGACGGAUGUGAGCGCAAAGUACCGUGGUGCCUUCUGCGAGGCAAAAAUCAAGACUGUUAAACGCAUUGUGAAAGUUAAGGUAAGUUUAAUCUAUCUGUAAGAUAUAAGUCUUAUCUGUUCAUCUUGUCAAG
rnacentral:lncRNA from 1 species